CCUACGGGAUGCACCAGUGGGGAAUAUUGGACAAUGGGCGAAAGCCUGAUCCAGCAAUGCCGCGUGUGUGAAGAAGGUCUUCGGAUUGUAAAGCACUUUCGACGGGGACGAUGAUGACGGUACCCGUAGAAGAAGCCCCGGCUAACUUCGUGCCAGCAGCCGCGGUAAUACGAAGGGGGCUAGCGUUGCUCGGAAUGACUGGGCGUAUAGGGCGCGUAGGCGGUUUAUGCAGUCAGAUGUGAAAUCCCCGGGCUUAACCUGGGAACUGCAUUUGAGACGCAUAGACUAGAGGUCGAGAGAGGGUUGUGGAAUUCCCAG
rnacentral:rRNA from 1 species